rnacentral:rRNA from 1 species
UGGAUCCAGACUUUGAUCAUGGCUCAGGACGAACGCUGGCGGCAUGCCUAACACAUGCAAGUCGAACGGAGUUGUUAUACAGAAGUUCUUCGGGAUGGAAGUAUAAGAACUUAGUGGCGGACGGGUGAGUAACGCGUGGGUAACCUGCCCUUUUGUGGGGAACAACUUCGAGAAAUCGGAGCUAAUAUCGCAUAAUAAUAGAGAAUCGCAUGAUUCUUUAAGGAAAGAUGGCCUCUGAGAAUGCUAUCGCAAAAGGAUGGACCCGCGUCUGAUUAGCUAGUUGGAAGGGUAACGGCCUACCAAGGCGACGAUCAGUAGCCGGCCUGAGAGGGUGAACGGCCACAUUGGGACUGAGACACGGCCCAAACUCCUACGGGAGGCAGCAGUGGGGAAUCUUCCGCAAUGGGCGAAAGCCUGACGGAGCAAUGCCGCGUGAGUGAAGAAGGCCUUCGGGUUGUAAAACUCUGUCCUUAUCGAAGAGAGGUGGGUAUGUGAAUAAUGUACCUAUAGGACGGUAGAUAAGGAGGAAGCCCCGGCUAACUACGUGCCAGCAGCCGCGGUAAUACGUAGGGGGCGAGCGUUGUCCGGAAUCACUGGGCGUAAAGGGCGCGUAGGCGGUUUAAUAAGUCAGUGGUGAAAACUGAGGGCUCAACCCUCAGCCUGCCACUGAUACUGUUAGACUUGAGUAUGGAAGAGGAGAAUGGAAUUCCUAGUGUAGCGGUGAAAUGCGUAGAUAUUAGGAGGAACACCAGUGGCGAAGGCGAUUCUCUGGGCCAAGACUGACGCUGAGGCGCGAAAGCGUGGGGAGCAAACAGGAUUAGAUACCCUGGUAGUCCACGCCGUAAACGAUGGAUUCUAGGUGUUAGUAGUUUCGAUGCUACUAGUGCCGGAGUAAACACAAUAAGUAUCCCGCCUGGGGAGUACGGUCGCAAGACUGCAACUCAAAUGAAUUGACGGA